rnacentral:rRNA from 1 species
CAAAAACAUGUCCUUUUGUUUAUUUAUUUAAGGUCUAACCUGCCCGAUGAUUUAUAUUUAAUGGCCGCAGUAUUUUAACUGUGCUAAGGUAGCAUAAUUAUUUGUCUUUUAAAUGGAGGCUAGAAUGAAUGGUUGGACGAGAUGUAAGCUUUCUUUAAUUUAAAUUAGGAAUUUAACUUUUAGGUUAAAAGGCUUGAAUUUAUUUAAGGGACGAGAAGACCCUAUAGAUCUUUAUAUUAAGUUUAAUUUUAAGGUUUGGGAGUUUAUUAUAUUUAAUUAUUGAAAUAUUUGAUUGGGGAGAUUGUAGAAUUUAAUUAACUUCUAUUUUUUUUUUCAUUUAUUUAUGUUUACUUGAUCCAUUUUAAUGAUUGUAAGAUUAAGUUACCUUAGGGAUAACAGCGUAAUUUUCUCGGGGAGUUCGAAUCUAUGAGGAAGUUUGCGACCUCCAUGUUGGAUUAAAAUAAGGUUUUUAUGUAGCAGUAAGGGAACUAGGUCUGUUCGACCUUUAAUUUUUUACAUGAUCUGA